rnacentral:tRNA from 1 species
GGCCGGGUGGCUUAGCUGGACAUAGCGCCGCACUCAUACUGCGGAGAUCGCGGGUUCGGAGCCCGCCCCGGCCA